rnacentral:misc_RNA from 1 species
GAUGAAGAACGUAGCGAAAUGCGAUACGUAAUGUGAAUUGCAGAAUUCAGUGAAUCAUCGAGUCUUUGAACGCACAUUGCGCCCCCUGGUAUUCCGGGGGGCAUGCCUGUCCGAGCGUCAUUGCUGCCCUCAAGCACGGCUUGUGUGUUGGGCCUCCGUCCUCCUCCCGGGGGACGGGCCCGAAAGGCAGCGGCGGCACCGCGUCCGGUCCUCGAGCGUAUGGGGCUUCGUCACCCGCUCUUGUAGGCCCGGCCGGCGCUUGCCGACACAUCAAUCUUUUUUCCAGGUUGACCUCGGAUCAGGUAGGGAUACCCGCUGAACUUAAGCAUAUCAGUAAGCGGAGGA